GCCCAGCCCUGAUAGUCGUGGAAAUCCUUUUUGGUUCCGCUUCUUUAGCGGGCCAAAAAGAUUGCAACAGAUAGCAGGAACAGCU
rnacentral:sRNA from 1 species